GAGAAAUUAAAUCAAUCCACUCCACCCAGAGUUCAUAGGAAGCUCCUUAAAUCCUAAGAAUAAUUUUCCAUUAAAAAAAGUCUUUAUUUCUGCACAGCUGGAGGAAUGAAUGAGAAGGACAUGCAAAUGAGAAGAAGAAAGAGAGCCCACGGUUGUUGAGCCUACAGGACAUUCUCAAACGCUGAGAAUAGGAACCUUGUUGCUUGUUUCUUAGCUGCUUUCUCCAAUGCCUGCCCUGGGCAGCCACACCCAGAGUUCUCACCACACCCUGGAGCUCUUGCCACCCAGAAGUUCUCGCCACACCCUGCCUGCUCCCGGAAGGUAACAGGGCCACCGAAGAAGGGCUGCAUUGUUGUGGCCUUAGCCUUGGCCCUGAAGGCCAGGAGGACAAACACUUUGGCUUAUAAGUACUGCAAAUCAAUAAACAGUAAAAGUCAGAAUAAAGGCCCUCUUGAACUUCAGCUGACCUCAACUCCAAGCUGGCUGGUCCUGAGGACAAAUACCCAGGAACGUGAUUCCAGGAGAGAAUACUUCUGCAUGGCAUCCAGUUGCUACCUGGCAGGAGGGUGUUUGCCUUUGAGAGAGGUGGGGGCAGGGGUAUCAAAUUCUCCUGGGGAAGACAGGAAGUUUGCCAGCGCCACCCAGAGCAGAAAAAGUGUGGCGGUAUCAAUAAAGAUGACAAUA